CGAGGGUGGCCGCACCAUCGACCGAUCCUGAUGUCCUCGGAUGGAUUUGAGUGGGAGCGCGGCCGCUGGGACCCGAAAGAUGGUGAACUAUGCCUGCUUAGGCUGAAGUCAGGGGAAACCCUGAUGGAAGGUCGCAGCGGUUCUGACGUGCAAAUCGAUCGUCAAAAGUGGGUAUAGGGGCGAAAGACUAAUCGAACCAUCUAGUAGCUGGUUCACACCGAAGUUUCCCUCAGGAUAGCAGCGGCGAUAUCAGUUUUAUGAGGUAAAGCGAAUGAUUGGAGGCAUUGGGGUUGAAACAACCUUAACCUACUCUCAAACUCUGAAUGUGUAAGAGGCCCCCGUUACUUAAGUGAACCCGGGCAUUCGAAUGCAGCGCCGUUAGUGGGCCAUUUUUGGUAAGCAGAACUGGCGAUGCGGGAUGAACCGAACGCGGGGUUAAGGUGCCGGAGUACACGCUCAUCAGACACCACAAAAGGUGUUGGUUCAUCUGGACAGCAGGACGGUGGCCAUGGAAGUCGGAAUCCGCUAAGGAGUGUGUAACAACUCACCUGCCGAAUGAACCAGCCCUGAAAAUGGAUGGCGCUCAAGCGUGUCACCGAUA
rnacentral:rRNA from 1 species